AGACUCAGAUGGAUAAAUGAGGAGGAUAGGAACACGAAAUUAUUCCACCACAUGGCAAAUCACCACAAGAGAACCAAUUAUGUGGAGGAGAUCGAAAUGGUUGGUUAGUGAAAGGUAAUGAGCAAUUGAGGUAAGGGGUCAUAGAAUUCUUUUGCACAUUAUAUCAUGAGGAGUUCAAUUGGAGAAACAAGUUGGAUGGUUUGAACUUCAUGUCUUUGAAUGAGUAAAAUUGGGAAUCACUUGAAA
rnacentral:lncRNA from 1 species